GCUGGGGGAUCGUCUGAACAAGGCCUGCGCUUAAUUGCGCGGCCAGUUCUUGAUUCUCUGCUAUCAGUUUUCUAUUUCUCAUCCUAAACACAAUGGAGUUUUUUCUCUAUGAACUACUUCCCUGGAGAGCUCGUCUCUCCAGUGGACAUAAACACAAACAAUAUUUUGUAUUAUGAAAAACUAUUAUUAUACUAUAAAAUUUAAUAUUCAAAACUUUCAACAACGGAUCUCUUGGUUCUCGCAUCGAUGAAGAACGCAGCGAAUUGCGAUAUGUAUUGUGAAUUGCAGAUUUUCGUGAAUCAUCAAAUCUUUGAACGCACAUUGCGCCCUCUGGUAUUCCAGGGGGCAUGCCUGUUUGAGCGUCAUUUCUCUCUCAAACCUUUGGGUUUGGUAGUGAGUGAUACUCGUCUCGGGUUAACUUGAAAGUGGCUAGCCGUUGCCAUCUGCGUGAGCAGGGCUGCGUGUCAAGUCUAUGGACUCGACUCUUGCACAUCUACGUCUUAGGUUUGCGCCAAUUCGUGGUAAGCUUGGGUCAUAGAGACUCAUAGGUGUUAUAAAGACUCGCUGGUGUUUGUCUCCUUGAGGCAUACGGCUUUAACCAAAACUCUCAAAGUUUGACCUCAAAUCAGGUAGGAGUACCCGCUGAACUUAAGCAUAUCAAUAAGCGGAGGAA
rnacentral:rRNA from 1 species